GGACACGGCUGGCGGCGUGCCUAACACAUGCAAGUCGAACGGAGAGUAUGGGGCUUGCUCCAUAUCUUAGUGGCGGACGGGUGAGUAACGCGUGAGUAACCUGCCUUUCAGAGGGGGAUAGCCAUUGGAAACGAUGGAUAAUACCGCAUAACGUAUCAUUGUCGCAUGGCAGAGAUACCAAAGGAGCAAUCCGCUGAAAGAUGGACUCGCGUCCGAUUAGAUAGUUGGUGAGGUAACGGCCCACCAAGUCGACGAUCGGUAGCCGGACUGAGAGGUUGAACGGCCACAUUGGGACUGAGACACGGCCCAGACUCCUACGGGAGGCAGCAGUGAGGGAUAUUGCACAAUGGGCGAAAGCCUGAUGCAAGCAACGCCGCGUGAGGGAUGACGGUUUUCGGAUUGUAAACCUCUGUCUUCGGUGAAGAUAAUGACAUUAGCCGAGGAGGAAGCCACGGCUAACUACGUGCCAGCAGCAGC
rnacentral:rRNA from 1 species